UUUCAGAAUUCAAUUAUUUUAGACAACAGGCACAUAUGCAAUACUGACAUAAUCCCGAAUACCACACGUUUCCCUUUUAUGCAGAUAUGCAAUGGCAAGCCCUUCCAUGUGUUCCAAAAGUAAAAUUUAAGCUCUAAAUUAAAGAAGAUAUUUCUAGUCAGAAACAAGCAAAAAUGGUGACUGCAGAGUAUCAGAAGCCCAAGGUACAGAAAUUGUGAGAAGUGUCGAAUGAUUUUAAGGAAAGAGUCGUAUUUGAAAAUGCAAGACUCUUUAGUGGAGGUCAAGCAAGUCAAUAUAGGUAGAAUACUCUGCAAAAUUAUGCGAGUGAGGGGAUGUCAAACAAUGGGUCAGGAAAUGCAUUGUUUUUCUGCAAAACAAAAGCUGAUUGCCAUUACAUAAGUCACUUUAGCAUCAUGAUAAAUUCAGAAAUAAACCAAAAAACAAGACACGCAAAAAUAAAAAAAAACAUUUAAUGAUGCUCUCUCCACACUGGGAUAAAUAAAAACAAACACAUCACAUCUAAUGUGGACAUAUCAGAUGCCUUGUGAAACACUAAAGGAACAAUUCAGUUUCGAGCUAUGGCACUUGCCACAUAGAUGUGGGGGGGCCUUGCACCAAUAGUGAUAGUUACCACUGCAUUUAGAAAUUGAAAGCAUUCGUGCAGACAAGGAUGAUUCUUUCUAUUCUUGGCUACCACUUCAAAUGCCUCCACCAAGUGUUACAAUGCUGCACGCAGCCAUACUAAGGAUCUCGCAGCAACACCUGCAGGUAAAAAGCAGAAGCAGUCAAAGUGCUGGUGUGUUCUGGACACUAUGUUUGAAAACAUUUAGGCAAGAAGAGUGCAAGAAGCAGACAUAACAACUGCAUUUAUUUCCAUAAUUCCCCAUUUAAAUGGCCUUUUCUUUUUGCUUAGACAAUGCCUACGCCUAGCCACAGCAGCUCCCUCAUACAGACUCCGCAAGCCAAGAGGCCGUGGAGCCAAAUGCAGGCAGCCAGCACACCUCGAACAGCCACCUUGACUGCGGGUGUGUCACCCUAGUCGCCAAGGAAACAUUUGAGGGAAAGUGACAGGCAAUGUGAACAGCCACUUCUCCAUGUAAACAAUACUCUUUCUCUCGGAUGACUCCUACGCCUCGCCACGCCAGCACACUUGUGCACAAAGAUGCCGCAGAGGCACGUGCAGGUCAGAGGCAAGAAGCAGUGGCACUGGUGUCGACUUUUACCCAAUUUCUUUUUCUUACACUGAGGCAGCCAGCACACCUCGAACAGCCACCUUGACUGCGGGUGUGUCAGUAGAUUCCUGUUGUACAUAUGCUCAUAAUAAACUUCAGUAAACUUGAACUUCAUAAUAAACUUGAAGGCAAAUGGGA